ACUUAAGGACUUAUUUGUACAUAUUUUCUUAUUUUCUUCCCCAUUACUUUGACCUCUAUUGUAAAGUAACGCCACGCGACAGAAUUAGUCCGUCCUUUUUGCACACAUGCAUAUGUAUGUAUGUAUAUACGAAUUAGUUUGACACUCCGUUUUGUACCGAAUCCCGCGAUCACUUCGAAGCAAGCGGUUCUCCUGAUCGGAUGUAAAAGUGAUUAAUAGAGUUUGAGUUUUUAAAGAGAGAGAGUUUGAGAGUUUUAGAGACAAGUGUUCAUUUAAGUGAAGUAAAAAAGUGAAAAGUACAGCAAAAAGAUACAAAUUGAUUUCAACAUGUUGUACCCUGAGAAAUAAGCAAGAAAACGGUUUUUUGGUUUUAUGAAGAGCAAAUACAAAACAAAGAGUGUCAUAAACUAUUAAAGACAGCUCAAAAAACUGUAUCAAUCGAUUCCAAGGACUACAUUUACUCUGUAUUGUCUGUACUGUCGGCCGUCAUUAAGGGAACCAACAAGCGAAAGAAUUUCUCACUACUGGACUCGCAGGAAAGUUUUGAACGCACAUGCAGGCGUACAAUUGUUGCAAACUUUACUAGCUGCCCUAUGCAUAUGUAUUAUAUAAAUUUUAAGAGUUACGUUAAGUACAAAUGUAUUUAAAACAAAAAUAAUGAUAACGUGUUAGCAUGGUAAAAAAAAGAAUGUAAGCAGAACAAUUGUUUGGAUGAUAUGUUUAAGUUUAUUU